UACGGAGGGUGCAAGCAUUAAUCGGAAUUAUUGGGCGUAAAGGGCGCGUAGGCGGAUAUGUAAGUCAGAUGUGAAAUUCCGGGACUCAAUUUCGGAGCUGCAUUUGAAACUACAAAUCUCGAGGAUUGGCGGAGAGAACGGAAUUCCACGUGUAGCGGUGAAAUGCGUAGAUAUGUGGAAGAACACCGGUGGCGAAGGCGGUUCUCUAGCUUAUACCUGACGCUGAGGCGCGAAAGCGUGGGGAGCAAACAGG
rnacentral:misc_RNA from 1 species